UACGAAGGGGGCUAGCGUUGCUCGGAAUCACUGGGCGUAAAGCGCACGUAGGCGGAUUGUUAAGUCAGGGGUGAAAUCCUGGAGCUCAACUCCAGAACUGCCUUUGAUACUGAAGAUCUUGAGUUCGGGAGAGGUGAGUGGAACUGCGAGUGUAGAGGUGAAAUUCGUAGAUAUUCGCAAGAACACCAGUGGCGAAGGCGGCUCACUGGCCCGAUACUGACGCUGAGGCACGAAAGCUAGGGGAGCAAACAGG
rnacentral:rRNA from 1 species